UUCUGUCGAUCAGCAUAAACCUCCCAAGGACCUCAUAAUACCGACAGCUGAAAGUAGCCUAUUAUGCUUUUUCAAUCUUGUUUUGAUUUUUACUAGUUACAUGUAUUAGUUACUAACUUAUAUAUCACCAAUUUAAACUUGGAAACUUGAGUCAAUCAAGGAAUUUCUGCGGCUAGCUUGCUACCAUGUCCAACACACAAAAGCUUUUAGGUCACCAGCAGUAUCAUCCCAAAUCCAGUGAGUCAGAUUGGUCGUGUGCUGACGGCCGCCCUCAAUGUUAAACUGCCAUGCUCCGCAUUAUAGGCUUAAACUAAUGCCUCAUUAGCAUCAGUGUCUCACUGACUCCACUCUGAAACAGCACCCUCCUCCACUACAGGGGACCUGUUAGCAUCACUGCCAACCACGCAGAGCUGGAGGAAACUGAAGCAUCACCCAGAUAUUCAGAAAUUUUGGAUGUAUCAAUAGUAUAACAACACAACUGUAUAAGAAACAUAAAAAGUUUAGAAAUGUUA